rnacentral:rRNA from 1 species
GUGUCAGCAGCCGCGGUAAGACGAACCGUGCUAACGUUGUUCGGAUUCACUGGGCUUAAAGGGCGCGUAGGCGGCUGACCAAGUCAGGGGUGAAAUCUCCCGGCUCAACCGGGAAACAGCUUCUGAUACUGGUCGGCUUGAGGGGGGUAGGGGCAGACGGAACUUCCGGUGGAGCGGUGAAAUGCGUAGAUAUCGGAAGGAACGCCGGUGGCGAAAGCGGUCUGCUGGACCCCUUCUGACGCUGAGGCGCGAAAGCCAGGGGAGCAAACGGGAUUAGAUACCCCGGUAGUCC